rnacentral:rRNA from 1 species
UACGUAGGGCGCAAGCGUUGUCCGGAAUUAUUGGGCGUAAAGAGCUCGUAGGCGGUCUGUCGCGUCGGAUGUGAAAGCCCGGGGCUUAACCCCGGGUCUGCAUUCGAUACGGGCAGACUAGAGUGUGGUAGGGAGAUCGGAAUUCCUGGUGUAGCGGUGAAAUGCGCAGAUAUCAGGAGGAACACCGGUGGCGAAGGCGGAUCUCUGGGCCAUUACUGACGCUGAGGAGCGAAAGCGUGGGGAGCGAACAGG